rnacentral:rRNA from 1 species
ACCAAAGCUAGCCCAAACAACAAACAACUAAACUACCAAAGCAAAAUUUAAAUAAAACAUUUAGUAACACACUAAAGUAUAGGAGAUAGAAAUUUUAAUAGGAGCUAUAGAGAUAGUACCGCAAGGGAAAGAUGAAAGAAAAAUUCAAAGUAAAAAACAGCAAAGAUUACCCCUUCUACCUUUUGCAUAAUGAGUUAGCUAGAACAACUUAACAAAGAGAACUUAAGCUAAGCCCCCCGAAACCAGACGGGCUACCUACGAACAAUCCCCUGGGAUGAACUCAUCUAUGUGGCAAAAUAGUGAGAAGAUUUAUAGGUAGAGGUGAAAAGCCCAACGAGCCUGGUGAUAGCUGGUUACCCAGAACAGAAUCUUAGUUCAACUUUAAAUUUACCUAAAAAACCCCAAAAAUUUUAAUGUAAAUUUAAAAUAUAAUCUAAAAAGGUACAGCUUUUUAGAUCAAGGAUACAACCUUACUUAGAGAGUAAACACAAACAAAACCAUAGUAGGCCUAAAAGCAGCCAUCAAUUAAGAAAGCGUUAAAGCUCAAUGUCCUAAACAACAUAAUACCAAAAACUUAAAACUAACUCCUAAUGUAAUACUGGGUCAAUCUAUUCAACUAUAGAAGAGACAAUGCUAACAUGAGUAACAAGAAACCCUUUCUCCUUGCAUAAACUUAUAACCGAAACGGAUACCCACUGAUAAUUAACAACAAGAUAAAAUCAACCAAACAAUUAACUAAAUCUAUCAAACCAAUUGUUAAACCAACACAGGAAUGCAACCAAGGAAAGAUUAAAAGAAGUAAAAGGAACUCGGCAAACACAAACCCCGCCUGUUUACCAAAAACAUCACCUCCAGCAUUACCAGUAUUGGAGGCACUGCCUGCCCAGUGACGUAAGUUAAACGGCCGCGGUAUCCUGACCGUGCAAAGGUAGCAUAAUCAUUUGUCCUGUAAAUUAGGACUUGUAUGAAUGGCCACACGAGGGUUUAACUGUCUCUUACUUCCAAUCAGUGAAAUUGACCUUCCCGUGAAGAGGCGGGAAUAAAACAAUAAGACGAGAAGACCCUAUGGAGCUUUAAUUAACUAGCCCAAUAGAACACAACUAAUCAACCAACAGGAAACUAAAAUAACUCUAUAAUGGACUAACAAUUUAGGUUGGGGUGACCUCGGAGAAUAAAACAACCUCCGAGUGAUACAAAUCUAGACUUACUAGUCAAAGUAUUACAUCAUCAAUUGAUCCAAAAAUCUUUGAUCAACGGAACAAGUUACCCUAGGGAUAACAGCGCAAUCCUAUUCAAGAGUCCAUAUCGACAAUAGGGUUUACGACCUCGAUGUUGGAUCAGGACAUCCUAAUGGUGCAGCAGCUAUUAAGGGUUCGUUUGUUCAACGAUUAAAGUCCUACGUGAUCUGAGUUCAGACCGGAGUAAUCCAGGUCGGUUUCUAUCUAUUAACCAGCUUCUCCCAGUACGAAAGGACAAGAGAAACAAGGCCCACCUCAAUAAAGCGCCUUAAGACAAAUGGAUGAUAUAAUCUCAAUCCAACCAGUCCAACUCCUCCACACCACAAGUCCAAGAAAUAGGACCC